rnacentral:rRNA from 1 species
UUGGAGGGCAAGUCUGGUGCCAGCAGCCGCGGUAAUUCCAGCUCCAAUAGCGUAUAUUAAAGUUGUUGCAGUUAAAAAGCUCGUAGUUGAAUUUCGGGAUCAGUACGCUGGUCGUGCCUUCGGUAUGAACUGGUGUCACUGAUUCCUCCCUUCUGAAGAACCGUCAUGCCAUUCAGUUGGUGUGGCGGGAAAUCAGGACUGUUACUUUGAAAAAAUUAGAGUGUUUAAAGCAGGCUUGCGCUUGAGUACAUUAGCAUGGAAUAAUGAAAUAGGACGUUUGGCCCUAUUUUGUUGGUUUCUAGGAUCGACGUAAUGAUUAAUAGGGAUAGUUGGGGGCAUUGGUAUUCAAUUGUCAGAGGUGAAAUUCUUGGAUUUAUUGAAGACUAACUACUGCGAAAGCAUUUGCCAAGGAUGUUUUCAUUAAUCAAGAACGAAAGUUAGGGGAUCGAAGACGAUCAGAUACCGUCGUAGUCUUAACCAUAAACUAUGCCGACUAGGGAUCGGAUGAUGUUAAUUUUUUAAUGACUCAUUCGGCGCCUUACGGGAAAC